GGGGCCGAUUAGGAUUCGACGCCGGAUACAAAACUUGAGGGGCAUGCCGAGUUGGUAACAGAACUCGUAAAUCCACUGUUGUAACUUUUAUAGUUGCCAAUGACGAAACUUAUGGGGAAUACGCUCUCGCUGCGUAAGCGGCCUUAGCCCUUCCCUUCUGGAUGCUUCGGCGCCAGCAAUCAUUAGAGGAUGUCUGUAAACUCGAAGUGAUUGUCAGAUAGAACAGAAUCGCUGUGCGGUAUGUUGUGGACCAAGCAGCUAAAUAUUACACAACUCGCCCAAAGCACCCUGCCCGUCGGGUCGCCUAGGGUUAACUUAAUAGACAAGGCUAAGCAUGUAGAACCGAUAGCAGAGUGCUGGCGGACGGGGGUUCAAAUCCCCCCGGCUCCACCA
rnacentral:tmRNA from 1 species